AUUUUCUGCCCCACCUUUGUAGAUGGUUGACUCCUCCCCGUCUCGCGACGCUCACUCAUGACUUCAGUCUGCCUCCACCUCAGCCUCUGCCAUCACCACCACCACCUUCGCUGCCACAGUCUCCACCUCCGUGGCUGUAGCCCUACGAUCCACUCCUCCCUCUUAUGCCUGCAGCCGCCUCUUCCUCCCACCCCCACCGCCAAGGCCACCGCGAAGGGACGACUUUGGCUCUCAGCCUUCCCCCACCGAUUCUAUGCCCUUGUUUGAUCUGCCCUCCUCUGAUGGCCCAGUGGCGGCAUCGCCUUCCACCCGCCGCCGCAUUCUUCCUCCACGCCAGGCGUGCCUCGGUCCAGAUCCAGGGCGUGAGCAAGCUUGAGCCUACCUGUGAUUACGGCGUUGUUAAUGGUGAGUUGAUUACCUAGCGGUAUAUAUAUGUGCUGGCAUGGCACGUGCGUGUGAUAGCUUGCUUGCAUAUGACGAUGUGUGUGUUCACUUUUGCCAAGAAGUUUGAAUUAGGGCCUCAUGCCUUACUACAAACAUAACUAGUUUAGUUAGUAAAACUUACACUUAGAGACUUGUUCCUUCUAUUUUAAUAGCACGCUUGGCAAUUAUGGUUUAAAUUUUAACUGGCCUUGUUUAGUGGUUUUAUUAAAGAAUAGUAGUUGUGUGCAAGAAAUAUGCUGGUUGAAUCUUGCUUUUGUAAUAAGAUAGAUAUUGUAUUGAGACAAUGAGACUCAACUAUAGUUUUCUAUACACACCAGGUAGUUCAACAAUCGGACUAUUUGGUUGAAGAAGAAAAUUACUCCAUAGAUAUGAUCCUUUCAAAGUUAUGCUUGUUAUGUUGUUUUGGAGUAGCACACUCUCUUGGCUCUCUUGUUUAUAAUUGCAUCCUUCAUAUCAGCGAUAUGUCCAAAGAUUAAGUCACUCUCAAAUAGCAUAUAGAUAACUUCAUGGUUUCUAUAUCUUACCAGUGAGAUGCCUUUUUCUAGCUCUGCUACUAUAUGUGUAGACCCUCCCAGAUUUUGUCUGCAUGAGGUUGUAAAUCUUCUUUCUCCAUCUACAAUGAACCUAUAACGGUGAACUCCAGAUGAAAGCAUCAAUAGAAUGUUUUAGUUUGAGGGAAAAUGGAAUGGAAUGUGUCUCUUAUUUGUCUGAUGAAUGUACUUUGAUGCCCAGUUAUCUCAUGAUCCUUCUACAUAGAUAUUUUCCCUCCAAGAGUUCAAGUAAGCAAAGUAGGAAUUUUCUUUUGAGGUGGGUCGUCAGAAUCCUCAUGUUGUUCACGCAUCAAUAUCUAGUUGAACAUUGGAGGUACUUCGGUAGCUCUUUGCAAUGGAGUUGCUAGGCUCUGCAAUAUGAAAUAUACCAAUGCCUUUACAAAUAUAUUUAUAUCAACUGGAGAACAAUGCAUGAGAUGAGCUAGACUGCUUAUAUCAAAACAUACAUUAGUCUACUUUCAUGGAUAUUGAAGAUACUAAUCACAUAUUCUGAUAUUGGCGACAUGAUGAAUUAGUACAUUUGAGGUAUCUAGCAAAUACAAAUUUUCACUAAAUUGGGUAACUGUUAUUUGCAAACUGAAACUUUUAUACCUGACAUUUCUAAGAUUGCCGCAUUACUGAACUAUAUUUUGAUCACACCUGUGCUCUUUGAUAUUACUAGGAAACACAACCAGUUGGCUCUUUGAAUUAGAUUCAUUCCAACUGGAACCAUGGACUUUGUUUAUUUUACUACCAAGACGACCGUGUUUGACAUCGAAUCACCUCUGCUUCUUGUAGGUUUAUUUAUCUGUUCAUUGGUAUCGGCGCUAUCGUCUUCCUCAUGUCUCUGUCUGGCUGCAUCGGAGCAGGGACAAGAAACACCCACUGCAUGUGUUUCGUAUCCUGUUGUUGUGUUUCGUAUCCCAUUGUUGUGUUUCUUAACUCAUCAUUGUGUUCUCCAUUCUGAAAAAUAUUCCAGAUGCUAUGCACAAGACACUGAACAUGGGCUAUUAGACACUUGGAAUUAUGUUGGAUGUCAAAUUAUGUUCAAUCUUUGUACUUGGGCUAUUAAUUUCA